UUGGAAGAGUCGACAGGGAAAUGGCCAAUAAACACGCUUGUAUAUGUAAAUAUGUCAUAAAAUGGCAUAUCAGCUUUAGAUUAGGCGACGGGAUAUUUGAACAAACAUUACAAAUUAUUUAUGUCAAUGACAAACACUUUGAAGCACCCUCGUCGUCCAGUGUCCAGUGCGGUUAUGGUGGACUUGACCCCAUGUCCUGGACGACUGUUCAAAGUUGACAUCACACUGGUGUCAAUGGGUGGGUGGGGCCCGAGAAUAAAUGAUCUAUAGAUGAACAAGGCACAGGUUUCUCUUUAUUUGACAAAAACCAAUAAUCUCGUCGUACAAACAGGGAGACCCAGAUUUCUCUUUGUUUUAGGGGUGUGAAAGGGAACCCAUGUGAGGGGGGCGUGUCCCCGCGUUUCUCCGCUGUCCACAUCGUGAUCAGCUCGUCCGUGCUGUCGGCUCCUCAUUGCUUGGCCAAUGGACGAGCAGCUUGGUAACCAGAUGGUCCACUCGGAAUCCGGCCCUGCUCGGUCUCCACACGCAAGGAUUGUUUGCUCACAGUUCGAGGGCCCUUCCUGUCAACACGUUGUUUGGAAGACACGAAGUGCUUUUCCUGAAUAACCAUUCUCUGGAGAGAACAUUUAUUUUUUCACAGUUCUAGUUGUCAGAUACGAAAUCCACAUGAAAAAAACAUGUAAUGCCUUAUUGCUGUGAAAUCCCAAAGGGCACGCCUCUUAUCUGAAGUCUAUGUAAACUAUGUGUAUAAAUAAGUAACCAAGUUGUCCAUAUUUUGUUUAUAUCUUAGCAAUAUCUGGGUUUUUUUUUUCCAUUUCUCAGUAAGAUGAUAUAUGAAUAAGCCUAACCCUAACCCCGAUUUCUCCAACCCGGAAGUUCUGUAAAAAUUGUUAUAAAAAGAAAAUUACACAGUAAACUAAAAGAAAACCCAAGAGAGUUCGCAAAAGUUUUACAAAAACUGGUACCAGAAGUCUUCUUAAGCUAAAGUGCAAGGAACAGUCAACAACGCUUUGAUGAAAGGGACACAUUCCAUGCUAUAGAAGCAACAGAAAUGCACCACUGACGCUUUUCUUGGUCACUGUUACAUGUAGUUUUUGGCCAUUGCAUGUACAUCAUUAAAGUUAGAUAAAGUUUUACUGACAUUCUUUUCAAAAAAAUAAACGCGACAAAUUUC